rnacentral:hammerhead_ribozyme from 1 species
AGCCGAAACACGACCGACGUGUCCGCUGCGACUGGCGUCACAGCGCUGAUGAUGGCAGCCAUCG